rnacentral:lncRNA from 10 species
ACUUGAGCCCAGGAGUUUGAAGCUGCAGUGACCCCAGAUUGCACCACUGUCCUCCAGCCUGGGCAAUAGAGCAAGACCCUUUCUCAAAAAUGAAAAAGAACAUUCUGGAGAGACAGAGAAGCAAGAGGGACCAGAAAGGAGAUGGGCUCUUGCUAUGUUGCCCAGGCUGGUCUCAAGCUCCUGGCCUCAAGAGAUCCUCCUGCCUCAGCCUCCCAAAGUGCUGGGAUUACAGGUGUGAGCUACCACACUGGCCCCUGCCUCAUACUUUUAAUUAACAUAAGUCUCUCUCUCUUCAGACCAUUUAGCCCCCAUUUUGGUUGGAAAAUAUCAGUGAGGUGAGGCUUGGGUAACAAAAAUGUCAAGCCUCUGAGAGGAGUCCAGGGUAUAAAAACAGGCGUGGGCCUGUUUCCAAAACCCUGACCAUCCUCAUGUCUGUCCCUCUUUCCUGCUGCUGAGGGUGGGAGGAGCCUGGAGCAGAGUGUGACAAGAUGUCAUCAGGCUCUGGAGUCCAGGUGACUUUCUGAGAUUCUCUAGUUUGACUCAUCCACAGAUGACAAAAGUAAGGCUUAAAGAAAAGAGAUUUCAUGACCAAAGUCGCAUGACCAAUGUAUGUGUGGGUGAGCAUGUAGUGGCCAGGGUGGUGGAAGAAUAGAUAGAAAUCCCUGGGCUGGGCGAGGUGGCUCAUGCCUGUAAUCCCAGCACUUUGGGAGACCGAGGCGGGUGGAUCACCUGAGGUCAGGAGUUUGGGAGCAGCCUGGCCAACAUGGCAAAACCCCGUCUCUACUAAAAAUACAAAAAUUAGCCGGGCGUGGUGCCGCACGCCUAUGACCCCAACUACUCAGGAGGCUGAGGCAGGAGAAUCGCUUGAACCCGGUGCAGUGAGCCGAGAUCGUGCCAUUCCACUCCAGCCUGGGCAACAGAGCGAGACUCUGUCUCAAAAUAAAUAAAUUAAAUAAAUAAAUGAAUGAAAAGACAGUCUCCGUCAGACUGCCCCAUCCUGGUGGUUUUGAGCCCUGCUGGGAGGAGCUGGAGAUGGAGAGUCCGGGGGAAACCGCCUUUGCAAAGAAAGAGAUCUAACUUAACUGACUCCACCUUGCUUCUAACCUCCAAGCUGUCUUUGUUUAUUCCUGGGCGUAGGCUGAACUAACUUUGGGAGAAACUUAGUUUGUAGUUUAUAGUUUAAACAAAGACAGUAACAGCCCUUUCCCAAAGCAGACCUUCUUGCCUGGGGACUAGACUAACACUAGCCAUAGGAUUAGAAAUUAUGGUUUAGGAGUCAUGCAGCUGGAGGCUACAAGAUUCUGACCCUCCCUAAACUGCUCCUAACAUCAGUGCUUGAGAUAUUUUGCAGACCCUGCACUUGAUGGAUCAGCUGGCACCACCCAGAUCAAUAAACUGGCUCAUCUGAUCUUGUGGCCCCCACCCAGAACUGACUCUGCAAGAAGACAGCUCUGACUCCUGAUGAUUUCAUCUCUGACCAAUCUGCACUCCCAGAUCCCAGCACUUUGGGAGGACCAGACAGGCAGAUCACAAGGUCAGGAUGAGAGGUGACAGCGUGCUGGCAGCCCUCACUCACUCUGGGCGCCUCCUCGGCCUCCACGCCAACUCUCCCUGCGCUUGAGGAGCCCUUCAGCCCGCCGCUGCACUGUGGGAGCC